rnacentral:rRNA from 1 species
GAUGAACGCUAGCGGGAGGCUUAACACAUGCAAGUCGAGGGGCAGCAUAGGGUAGCAAUACUCUGAUGGCGACCGGCAAACGGGUGAGUAACGCGUAUGCAACCUACCCUGUACAGGGGGAUAACCCGGAGAAAUUCGGACUAAUAUCCCGUAAUAAUAUCCGGAGGCAUCUUUGGAUAUUUAAAGUUUCGACGGUACGGGAUGGGCAUGCGUAACAUUAGCUGGUUGGUAAGGUAACGGCUUACCAAGGCUAUGAUGUUUAGGGGUCCUGAGAGGGUGGUCCCCCACACUGGUACUGAGACACGGACCAGACUCCUACGGGAGGCAGCAGUGAGGAAUAUUGGUCAAUGGGCGCAAGCCUGAACCAGCCAUCCCGCGUGCAGGAAGACGGCCCUAUGGGUUGUAAACUGCUUUUCCAGGGAGAGAAACUUACGCACGUGUUGCGUGACUGACGGUACCCUGGGAAUAAGCAUCGGCUAACUCCGUGCCAGCAGCCGCGGUAAACAUGAGAGUA